UACUAAUUAGGUCAUUGAGAGUGUCAGUUUGGUGUAGUGGUUAAAGCAUCAGGCUAAAAACUGGGAGACUGUGAGUUAUAGUCCCACUUUAGGCACAAAGCCAGCUGACAUAGCAAGGUCAAAGGUUCACCAUCCAAGCUGGACGACUCAGGCCUGCAGGCCUGAGAUAGCAAAUAUCCCUGUAUGUUGCUACUGUUAUUUCAUUAAAAGUAUUUUUGCCCCAACAAUGGAGAAGAUCAUUACAUAGACUUCAUGCAAAUAAUCCCUGCAACAUGAUGAUGACGGUGAAGAUGAUGAGGAUGAUGAGGAUGCACUCAGAAAAUCCAUUGGCAUUUAUUAUUUCAGCAGGAGUGCACUGAAGAUGAUUCCACUGCCCAAGAAGCCGUCUCCUUAUCCCAACUGUGCCUUGUAUAAAAGCCUCAUGAUCUUUGCAAGAAACCAGCAAGAUUUUAAGGACAUAAAGAGAUAAAGAUCUAUAUCUGGGAUAACCAAAUGUCCCAUGGUACAGAGAAAAACACUCUGUUUGAAAGGCUGCACAAUGUGAAUCUGACUUAAACAUAAUCAAAUAUUAGAGGAUGUUUGAUUUUGCUCAUCAUUUAUAAUAUUUGGCAACAAAUCAAGUAGGGAUCCUGGAAAACAGUUGUCUGUUUUCCCCUGUAUAAGGGGUGUUGAUGGUUUUAUUUUAUUUAUUUAACCCAACAAUUCAUUCAUUCAAUUAUUUAAAGUUGUUUUGAGAAAGAAUUGUACAAGUGUGUCUACAGGCAAAAUAAUACACAUGCCAAUUUUA